GGUUAAGUUAAAAAGGGCGCAUGGUGGAUGCCUUGGCACUAGAAGCCGAUGAAGGACGGGACUAACACCGAUAUGCUUCGGGGAGCUGUACGUAAGCUUUGAUCCGGAGAUUUCCGAAUGGGGAAACCCAGCAGUUUUAAUCGACUGUUACUAUAUAGUGAAUUCAUAGCUGUAUAGAGGUAGACGUGGGGAACUGAAACAUCUCAGUACCCACAGGAGCAGAAAGAAAUUUUCGAUUCCCUCAGUAGCGGCGAGCGAACGGGGAACAGCCCAAACCAAUGAGCUUGCUCAUUGGGGUUGUAGGACUGAACAUUUGAGUUACCAAAGUUGUUGAUAAUCGAACAAUCUGGGAAGGUUGGCGAAACAGGGUGAUAGCCCCGUAGGUGAAAUCAAUGACCCUCAGUUCAGGAUCCUGAGUACGGCGACACACGUGAAACGUCGUCGGAAUCCGGGAGGACCAUCUCCCAAGGCUAAAUACUCUCUAGUGACCGAUAGUGAACCAGUACCGUGAGGGAAAGGUGAAAAGCACCCCGGAAGGGGAGUGAAAUAGUUCCUGAAACCAUGUGCCUACAAGCAGUUAGAGCCCGUUAAUGGGUGAUAGCGUGCCUCUUGUAGAAUGAACCGGCGAGUUACGGUAACAUGCCAGGUUAAGGUUUAAAAGCCGGAGCCGCAGCGAAAGCGAGUCUGAAAUGGGCGUUUUAGUAUGUUGCUGUAGACCCGAAACCAGGUGAUCUACCCAUGUCCAGGGUGAAGGUGCGGUAAAACGCACUGGAGGCCCGAACCCGUGUACGUUGAAAAGUGCUGGGAUGAGGUGUGGGUAGCGGUGAAAUUCCAAACGAACUUGGAGAUAGCUGGUUCUCUCCGAAAUAGCUUUAGGGCUAGCCUCGGACGUAGAAUCAUGGAGGUAGAGCCACUGUUUGGAUGAGGGGCCCGUCAUGGGUUACUAAGUUCAGAUAAACUCCGAAUACCAUUGAUUUUUAUCCGGGAGUCAGACGGUGAGUGAUAAGAUCCAUCGUCAAAAGGGGAACAGCCCAGACCACCAGUUAAGGUCCCUAAAUAUAUGCUAAGUGGAAAAGGAUGUGGAGUUGCAUAGACAACUAGGAUGUUGGCUCAGAAGCAGCCAUCAUUUAAAGAGUGCGUAAUAGCUCACUAGUCGAGUGAUUCCGCGCCGAAAAUUUACCGGGGCUAAGCAUAUUACCGAGACUGUGGACUUGACCUUUGGUCAAGUGAUAGGAGAGCGUUCUAAGGGCAAUGAAGCUAGACCGUAAGGACUGGUGGAGCGCUUAGAAGUGAGAAUGCCGGUAUGAGUAGCGAAAGAUCAGUGAGAAUCUGAUCCACCGAAUGACUAAGGUUUCCUGGGGAAGGCUCGUCCUCCCAGGGUUAGUCGGGACCUAAGCCGAGGCCGAAAGGCGUAGGCGAUGGAUAACAGGUUGAGAUUCCUGUACUAGUUGAUGAUGUUUGAGCGAUGGAGGGACGCAGGAGGCUAAGUUGUGCAUCCAGUUGGAAAGGGAUGUUCAAGCCACAAGUCAGUCAAAGAGUCAAAUGCUUUUUGGCGGGUUGACAAGUGGUGAUGAGGACCGAAAUUUAAGUAGGGAAGCAACCAACGUCACACUGCCGAGAAAAGCUUCUAGUGAGUCAUCAACUACCCGUACCGCAAACCGACACAGGUAGUCGAGGAGAGAAUCCUCAGGUGAGCGAGUGAACUCUCGUUAAGGAACUCGGCAAAAUGACCCCGUAACUUCGGGAGAAGGGGUGCUGUGCGCAAGCACAGCCGCAGUGAAAAGGCCCAGGCGACUGUUUAUCAAAAACACAGGUUUCUGCAAAAUCGUAAGAUGACGUAUAGGGGCUGACGCCUGCCCGGUGCUGGAAGGUUAAGUGGAUGAGUUAGCUUCGGCGAAGCCCAGAAAUGAAGCCCCAGUAAACGGCGGCCGUAACUAUAACGGUCCUAAGGUAGCGAAAUUCCUUGUCGGGUAAGUUCCGACCCGCACGAAAGGCGUAACGAUCUGGGCACUGUCUCAACGAGAGACUCGGUGAAAUUAAGAUACCUGUGAAGAAGCAGGUUACCCGCGACAGGACGGAAAGACCCCAUGGAGCUUUACUGUAGCUUGAUAUUGGGUGUUGACACAGCUUGUACAGGAUAGGUAGGAGCCAUUGAAGCCGGAACGCUAGUUUCGGCAGAGGCGUUGGUGGGAUACUACCCUCGCUGUGUGAACACUCUAACCCGCGCCACUUAGCGUGGCGGGAGACAGUGUCAGGUAGGCAGUUUGACUGGGGCGGUCGCCUCCCAAACAGUAACGGAGGCGCCCAAAGGUUCCCUCAGAAUGGUUGGAAAUCAUUCAACGAGUGUAAAGGCAGAAGGGAGCUUGACUGCGAGACAGACAGGUCGAGCAGGGACGAAAGUCGGGCUUAGUGAUCCGGUGGUACCGUAUGGAAGGGCCAUCGCUCAACGGAUAAAAGCUACCCUGGGGAUAACAGGCUUAUCUCCCCAAGAGUCCACAUCGACGGGGAGGUUUGGCACCUCGAUGUCGGCUCAUCGCAUCCUGGGGCUGUAGUCGGUCCCAAGGGUUGGGCUGUUCGCCCAUUAAAGCGGUACGCGAGCUGGGUUCAGAACGUCGUGAGACAGUUCGGUCCCUAUCCGUCGCGGGCGCAGGAAAUUUGAGAGGAGCUGUCCUUAGUACGAGAGGACCGGGAUGGACAUACCGCUGGUGUACCAGUUGCGCCGCCAGGCGCACCGCUGGGUAGCUACGUAUGGAUGAGAUAAACGCUGAAAGCAUCUAAGUGUGAAACUUACCUCAAGAUGAGAUUUCCCAUUCCUAUAUGGAAGUAAGACCCCUGAGAGAUGAUCAGGUAGAUAGGUUGGAAGUGGAAGUGCAGUGAUGUACGGAGCGGACCAAUACUAAUCGGUCGAGGACUUAACCAA
rnacentral:rRNA from 1 species